GACGAACGCUGGCGGCGUGCUUAACACAUGCAAGUCGAACGGUAAGGCUCCAGCUUGCUGGGGUACACGAGUGGCGAACGGGUGAGUAACACGUGGGUGACCUGCCCUGCACUUCGGGAUAAGCCUGGGAAACUGGGUCUAAUACCGGAUAGGACCGCACCGUGAGGGUGUGGUGGAAAGUUUUUUCGGUGUGGGAUGGGCCCGCGGCCUAUCAGCUUGUUGGUGGGGUAAUGGCCUACCAAGGCGGCGACGGGUAGCCGGCCUGAGAGGGUGGACGGCCACAUUGGGACUGAGACACGGCCCAGACUCCUACGGGAGGCAGCAGUGGGGAAUAUUGCACAAUGGGCGGAAGCCUGAUGCAGCGACGCCGCGUGGGGGAUGACGGCCUUCGGGUUGUAAACUCCUUUCACCAUCGACGAAGGGUUUCUGACGGUAGAUGGAGAAGAAGCACCGGCUAACUACGUGCCAGCAGCCGCGGUAAUACGUAGGGUGCGAGCGUUGUCCGGAAUUACUGGGCGUAAAGAGCUCGUAGGUGGUUUGUCGCGUCGUCUGUGAAAUUCCGGGGCUUAACUCCGGGCGUGCAGGCGAUACGGGCAUAACUUGAGUACUGUAGGGGAGACUGGAAUUCCUGGUGUAGCGGUGAAAUGCGCAGAUAUCAGGAGGAACACCGGUGGCGAAGGCGGGUCUCUGGGCAGUAACUGACGCUGAGGAGCGAAAGCAUGGGGAGCGAACAGGAUUAGAUACCCUGGUAGUCCAUGCCGUAAACGGUGGGCGCUAGGUGUGGGUUUCCUUCCACGGGAUCCGUGCCGUAGCUAACGCAUUAAGCGCCCCGCCUGGGGAGUACGGCCGCAAGGCUAAAACUCAAAGGAAUUGACGGGGGCCCGCACAAGCGGCGGAGCAUGUGGAUUAAUUCGAUGCAACGCGAAGAACCUUACCUGGGCUUGACAUAUACAGGAUCGCGCCAGAGAUGGUGUUUCCCUUAUGGCUUGUAUACAGGUGGUGCAUGGUUGUCGUCAGCUCGUGUCGUGAGAUGUUGGGUUAAGUCCCGCAACGAGCGCAACCCUUGUCUUAUGUUGCCAGCACGUUGUGGUGGGGACUCGUAAGAAACUGCCGGGGUUAACUCGGAGGAAGGUGGGGAUGACGUCAAAUCAUCAUGCCCCUUAUGUCCAGGGCUUCACACAUGCUACAAUGGUCGGUACAGUGGGUUGCCAGUCCGUGAGGGCGAGCUAAUCCCGCAAAGCCGGUCUCAGUUCGGAUCGGGGUCUGCAACUCGACCCCGUGAAGUCGGAGUCGCUAGUAAUCGCAGAUCAGCAACGCUGCGGUGAAUACGUUCCCGGGCCU
rnacentral:rRNA from 1 species